GGUUAAUACCCUGAGUAGAUGACGGUACCCGAAUAAGAAGCACCGGCUAACUACGUGCCAGCAGCCGCGGUAAUACGUAGGGUGCGAGCGUUAAUCGGAAUUACUGGGCGUAAAGCGUGCGCAGGCGGUUUUGUAAGUCAGAUGUGAAAUCCCCGGGCUCAACCUGGGAACUGCAUUUGAGACUGCAAGACUGGAGUUUGGCAGAGGGGGGUGGAAUUCCACGUGUAGCAGUGAAAUGCGUAGAGAUGUGGAGGAACACCGAUGGCGAAGGCAGCCCCCUGGGCCAAUACUGACGCUCAUGCACGAAAGCGUGGGGAGCAAACAGGAUUAGAUACCCUGGUAGUCCACGCCCUAAACGAUGUCAACUAGGUGUUGGGAGGGUUAAACCUUUUAGUGCCGUAGCUAAC
rnacentral:rRNA from 1 species